GUGCCAUGGAAGUUUGACCCCAACGAGAUCAAAGUCAUAUACCUGAGGUGCACCAGGAGUGAAGUUGGUGCCACUUCUGCGCUGGCCCCCAAGAUCGGCCCCCUGGGUCUGUCUCCCAAAAAGGUUGGUGAUGACAUUGCCAAGGCAACGGGUGACUGGAAGGGCCUGAGGAUUACAGUGAAACUGACCAGUCAGAACAGACAGGCCCAGAUUGAGGUGGUGCCUUCUGCCUCUGACCUGAUCAUCAAAGCCCUCAAGGAACCACCAAGAGACAGAAAAAAACAGAAAAAUAUUAAACAUAGUGGGAAUAUCACGUUUGAUGAAAUCUUCAACAUUGCUUGACAGAUGCACACCAAUCCUUAGCUAGAGAGUUCCCUGGAACCAUUAAAGAGAUCUCGGGGACUGCCCAGUCUGUGGGCUGCAAUGUUGAUGGCCACCACCCUCAUGACAUCAUAGAUGACAUCAACAGUGGUGCUGUGGAAUGCCCAGCUAGUUAA
rnacentral:lncRNA from 1 species